rnacentral:rRNA from 1 species
GUAAGAACUAGUGGAGGACUGAACCCAUAGGCGUUGAAAAGCCCCGGGAUGACUUGUGGAUAGGGGUGAAAGGCCAAUCAAACUUCGUGAUAGCUGGUUCUCUCCGAAAUAUAUUUAGGUAUAGCGUUGUGUCGUAAUAUAAGGGGGUAGAGCACUGAAUGGGCUAGGGCAUACACCAAUGUACCAAACCCUAUCAAACUCCGAAUACCUUAUAUGUAAUCACAGCAGUCAGGCGGCGAGUGAUAAAAUCCGUCGUCAAGAGGGAAACAACCCAGAUUACCAGCUAAGGUCCCUAAAUCUUACUUAAGUGGAAAACGAUGUGAAGUUACUUAAACAACCAGGAGGUUGGCUUAGAAGCAGCCAUCCUUUAAAGAAAGCGUAAUAGCUCACUGGUCUAGUGAUUUUGCGCGGAAAAUAUAACGGGGCUAAAGUAAGUACCGAAGCUGUAGACUUGCACACAACUUAGAUUAUUUAAGUUUAGAAUAAGUAGUUUAAGUUGUGUGCAAGUGGUAGGAGAGCGUUCUAUUUGCGUCGAAGGUAUACCGGUAAGGAGUGCUGGAGCGAAUAGAAGUGAGCAUGCAGGCAUGAGUAGCGAUAAUUAAUGUGAGAAUCAUUAACGCCGUAAACCCAAGGUUUCCUACGCGAUGCUCGUCAUCGUAGGGUUAGUCGGGUCCUAAGUCGAGUCCGAAAGGGGUAGACGAUGGCAAAUUGGUUAAUAUUCCAAUACCAACAUUAGUGUGCGAUGGAAGGACGCUUAGGGCUAAGGGGGCUAGCGGAUGGAAGUGCUAGUCUAAGGUCGUAGGAGGUUAUACAGGCAAAUCCGUAUAACAAUACUCCGAGAACUGAAAGGCUUUUUGAAGUCUUCGGAUGGAUAGAAGAACCCCUGAUGCCGUCGAGCCAAGAAAAGUUUCUAAGUUUAGCUAAUGUUGCCCGUACCGUAAACCGACACAGGUGGGUGGGAUGAGUAUUCUAAGGCGCGUGGAAGAACUCUCUUUAAGGAACUCUGCAAAAUAGCACCGUAUCUUCGGUAUAAGGUGUGGUUAGCUUCGUACUAGGAUUUACUCCGAAAGCGAAGAAACUUACAACAAAGAGUCCCUCCCGACUGUUUACCAAAAACACAGCACUCUGCUAACUCGUAAGAGGAUGUAUAGGGUGUGACGCCUGCCCGGUGCUCGAAGGUUAAUUGAUGGGGUUAGCAUUAGCGAAGCUCUUGAUCGAAGCCCGAGUAAACGGCGGCCGUAACUAUAACGGUCCUAAGGUAGCGAAAUUCCUUGUCGGUUAAAUACCGACCUGCAUGAAUGGCGUAACGAGAUGGGAGCUGUCUCAAAGAGGGAUCCAGUGAAAUUGUAGUGGAGGUGAAAAUUCCUCCUACCCGCGGCAAGACGGAAAGACCCCGUGGACCUUUACUACAGCUUGACACUGCUACUUGGAUAAGAAUGUGCAGGAUAGGUGGGAGGCUUUGAGUAUAUGACGCCAGUUGUAUAUGAGCCAUUGUUGAGAUACCACUCUUUCUUAUUUGGGUAGCUAACCAGCUUGAGUUAUCCUCAAGUGGGACAAUGUCUGGUGGGUAGUUUGACUGGGGCGGUCGCCUCCCAAAUAAUAACGGAGGCUUACAAAGGUUGGCUCAGAACGGUUGGAAAUCGUUCGUAGAGUAUAAAGGUAUAAGCCAGCUUAACUGCAAGACAUACAAGUCAAGCAGAGACGAAAGUCGGUCUUAGUGAUCCGGUGGUUCUGUGUGGAAGGGCCAUCGCUCAAAGGAUAAAAGGUACCCCGGGGAUAACAGGCUGAUCUCCCCCAAGAGCUCACAUCGACGGGGAGGUUUGGCACCUCGAUGUCGGCUCAUCGCAUCCUGGGGCUGGAGCAGGUCCCAAGGGUAUGGCUGUUCGCCAUUUAAAGCGGUACGCGAGCUGGGUUCAGAACGUCGUGAGACAGUUCGGUCCCUAUCUGCCGUGGGCGUAAGAAGAUUGAAGAGAUUUGACCCUAGUACGAGAGGACCGGGUUGAACAAACCACUGGUGUAGCUGUUGUUCUGCCAAGAGCAUCGCAGCGUAGCUAAGUUUGGAAAGGAUAAACGCUGAAAGCAUCUAAGCGUGAAGCCAACUCUAAGAUGAAUCUUCUCUAAGCUCUCUAGAAGACUACUAGUUUGAUAGGCUGGGUGUGUAAUGGAUGAAAGUCCUUUAGCUGACCAGUACUAAUAGAGCGUUUGGCUUAUCUUUAAUAAAGCAU